rnacentral:rRNA from 1 species
UUAAAUUGAAGAGUUUGAUCAUGGCUCAGAUUGAACGCUGGCGGCAGGCCUAACACAUGCAAGUCGGACGGUAGCACAGAGGAGCUUGCUCCUCGGGUGACGAGUG